UAAGAGCCAGAUGGAACAUGCACAUGC
rnacentral:piRNA from 1 species